rnacentral:rRNA from 1 species
GCGCAGCAGUCGCGAAAACUUUACAAUGUGCGAAAGCACGAUAAGGGAACUCUGAGUGCCUCCUAAGGAGGCUGUUCAGGUGUCCAAAAAGCACCUGAAGGAAGGGCUGGGUAAGACCGGUGCCAGCCGCCGCGGUAACACCGGCAGCCCAAGUGGUAGCCACGUUUAUUGGGUCUAAAGCGUCCGUAGCCGGCUGGGUAAGUUCCUUGGGAAAUUUGGCUGCUUAACAGUCAAGCUUUCAGGGAAUACUGCCCGGCUUGGGACCGGGAGAGGUCAGAGGUACUCCAGGGGUAGGGGUGAAAUCCAUUAAUCCCUGGGGGACCACCGGUAGCGAAGGCGUCUGACCAGACCGGGUCCGACGGUGAGGGACGAAGGCUAGGGGCGCGAACCGGAUUAGAUACCCCGGUAGU